rfam:Triticum aestivum genome assembly, contig: Triticum_aestivum_CS42_TGACv1_scaffold_604720_7DL
AAUAUACUCCCUCCGUCCCAAAAUUUUGUUUUAGAUUAGUCUAGAUACGGAUGUAUCUAUCCCAAAAUUCUUGUCUUAGAUUAGUCUAGAUACGGAUGUAUAUAAUACUAAAAUGUGACUUGAUACAUCCGUAUUUAGACAAAUCUAAGACAAGAAUUUUGGGACGGAGGGAGUAUUAA